AGUCCCGCCCACGCGCCUUUGGAGGCUGCGGUGGGAUUUCCUUUUGCCUUCGGUUGGGGCUGCUGUUUCUCUUCGCCGACGACUCUGGAACCCCUGUGCUCUUCUCCUCAUCUAGUGACCCUGAGGUGAUGGAGUUUUCAAGUCCUUCCAGAGAGGAAUGUCCCAAGCCUUCGGGUAGGGUAAGCAUCAUGGCUGGCAGCCUCACAGGAUUGCUUCUACUUCAGGCAGUGUCGUGGGCAUCAGAUGAGUGCCUUCAGCCGCUACAAGAGCAGAAGCAGUGGGCAUUGGAUGGAGCUGAGUACAGGACCAUACAGGCUAAUUGCACCGGCACAGGAAUCGGAUAUAACAUCAUCUGGGUACCCAUGGCCAGCUGUGACUUCUCCAUCCGCACCUACACCUAUGCAGACACCCCUGAUGAUUUCCAGUUGCACAACUUCAGCCUCCCAGAGGAAGAUACCAAGCUCAAGAUACCCCUGAUUCACCGAGCCCUGCAGUUGGCCCAGCGUCCCGUUUCACUCCUUGCCAGCCCCUGGACAUCACCCACUCGGCUCAAGACCAGGGGAGCGGGGAAUGGGAAGGGGCCACUCAAGGGACAGCCCAGAGACAUCUACCACCAGACCUGGGCCAGAUACAUUGUGAAGUUCCUGGAUGCCUAUGCUGAGCACAAGUUACAGUUCUGGGCAGUGACAGCUGAAAAUGAGCCUUCUGCUGGGCUGUUGAGUGGAUACCCCUUCCAGUGCCUGGGCUUCACCCCUGAACAUCAGCGAGACUUCAUUGCCCGUGACCUAGGUCCUACCCUUGCCAACGGUACUCACCACAAUGUCCGCCUACUCAUGCUGGAUGACCAACGCUUGCUGCUGCCCCACUGGGCAAAGGUGGUACUGACAGACCCAGAAGCAGCUAAAGGCCUGUGUGGGUUCCAAGUUCUGGGAGCAGAGUGUGCGGCUAGGCUCCUGGGAUCGAGGGAUGCAGUACAGCCACAGCAUCAUCACAAACCUCCUGUACCAUGUGGUCGGCUGGACCGACUGGAACCCAUCAUUGUAGACAUCACCAAGCACACGUUUUACAAACAGCCCAUGUUCUACCACCUUGGCCACUUCAGCAAGUUCAUUCCUGAGGGCUCCCAGAGAGUGGGGCUGGUUGCCAGUCAGAAGAACGACCCGGACGCAGUGGCACUGAUGCAUCCCGAUGGCUCUGCUGUUGUGGUCGUGCUAAACCGCUCCUCUAAGGAUGUGCCUCUUACCAUCAAGGAUCCUGCUGUGGGCUUCCUGGAGACAAUCUCACCUGGCUACUCCAUUCACACCUACCUGUGGCGUCGCCAGUGAUGGAGCAGAUACUCAAGGAGGCACUGGGCUCAGCCUGGGCAUUAAAGGGACAGAGUCAGC
ensembl:lncRNA GBA1LP glucosylceramidase beta 1 like, pseudogene